GUAGGGAAUAUUGCGCAAUGGACGAAAGUCUGACGCAGCGACGCCGCGUGAGUGAUGAAGGCCUUAGGGUCGUAAAGCUCUGUUGAAUGGGAAGAAAAAAAUGACGGUACCAUUCGAGGAAGGACCGGCUAACUUCGUGCCAGCAGCCGCGGUAAUACGAGGGGUCCUAGCGUUGUUCGGAAUCAUUGGGCGUAAAGGGUGUGUAGGUGGCCAUGUAAGUCAGGUGUGAAAGCCCCGGGCUCAACCCGGGAAGUGCACUUGAUACUGCGUGGCUUGAGUACCGAAGAGGGUAGUGGAAUUCCAGGUGUAGUGGUGAAAUACGUAGAUAUCUGGAGGAAAACCGGUGGCGAAGGCGGCUACCUGGUCGAGUACUGACACUGAGACACGAAAGCAUGGGGAUCAAACAGGAUUAGAAACCCUGGUAGUCC
rnacentral:rRNA from 1 species